rnacentral:lncRNA from 1 species
CGGCUGGGGGCUUUAUUAGGGGGCACCGGGGUCUGCUUUCCGACUCCCUUCCGACUCCGCGCCUGCGCAGGAAGCGAUUUGGGGAGUGUUGUGAAUUCCGAGGGCUCCACACUUAAGAGGUUGUACACUCACCUGUCUACCUGGACUCCAAUUUCCAUAUUUCCAGCCACUUGAGGACUGAGAGGUGGAUGAUAAACCCUGUCAUAGUGGAGCAAGUUCAGGUGUUUAACCGCUGUUAUGGGGGAUCUGCCUUUUCUCCCUCUUCUUUCUUACUUCCAUAAGUAUGUAUGUGCAGAGAUUGAAAAAUAACCUUGAGAGAGUCCAUCCAUCUAACUCCAGUUCAUUGGAAAUUUCUGCUUCUUUGAGACUGAGGUUAUAUUCCACUUCUUCUGACUACACCACCACCAUCAAUCUCCUUCUCUGAACUCUUGGAUCAUUACUUCAACCUGAAACAACUCAUCAGGAAACAUUGCAGCGUUAUAAGAGAAAUUAUAGACUAUUUGUUGAAGCUCAGCAUGUCCAUCUCCCUGCUUUGAAGAAGGCAAGCUUCAUUAAAACCAACAUCUUACUUGGCCUAAAACAUCUUUGGAGUAGGAGAUUUAUGGCCUUUCUGGGAAAGUAGUUCUAAUUUUUAUAAACCUUAGAAUUAAGAAGUUCUUUUGUAAAUACAAUUAUAAUUCUUUCUUCUCGA